rnacentral:rRNA from 1 species
UACAGAGGGUGCGAGCGUUAAUCGGAAUUACUGGGCGUAAAGCGCGCGCAGGCGGUUUCUUAAGUCUGAUGUGAAAGCCCACGGCUCAACCGUGGAAGGUCAUUGGAAACUGGGGAACUUGAGUGCAGAAGAGAAGAGCGGAAUUCCACGUGUAGCGGUGAAAUGCGUAGAGAUCCGGAGGAACCCCAGAGGCGAAGGCGGCGUCCUGGCUCACAACUGACGCUCAUACACGACAGCAUGGGGAGCGAACGGG